CCUGAGUCCUGACCUCGGGGGCAGGAGCUGGAGAUACUACACUGGAUUAGAAAGAUGAGUUUCCAGUCAAGUGUGGGAGAGAGAAGUAGCCAGGAUGUAGAACCUGACAAGGGAAGAGUUCAGGAACUUGCCCAGUUGAGCAGCCAGUGAACGGGACAGCCCUGAGCACGGUGCACGUGAGAACACAGAGGGGACCCCUGGAGGGCCUGAUGUCCAGGUGGGUGCAAGAGCUCCAGCAGGAGCAGUGAUGGAUGCAGACAGAACAGCAUGUGCACAGACUCGGGUUGACAGAGAGCAAGGCCUUUGAAGAAGCCUGGAGUUCAACGAGGGGAAGGUGUAGAGAUUUUUAGGAAGGGGCACUGAUGCAUUCAGAUGUGUACCCUAGAAAGUUUGCUUUGGUUGGAGAGCAACCAGAUGUGGCCAAGACUUGACACCACAGGCUGGGGGUAUGGAGGGAGGGGGACUUGGGGUGACCGUCGGUGGAGUGGUAUCCCUGGUACUGUCAGGUUCUGGGGACACGAUGAGAAGUUCAUUUUGGGAUUGAUAUCUGGAGGCCACUGGGUAGAUGGGCAUAGUGCUCAUGGCUGCGGAGGAAGACAUGUGUUUGGGAUGGGAAGCCUCGUUCCCACGGAUUUCCGGCAGCAUCCAAGUGGCCUGCCUGGGACAGCACUGCCCUAUUUAAGCAGCCUGGCAGCCCUGCUGCCGCUCACAGGGGCACUUUCCAAGUAUCGCACAUCAGAAAUUAAUGGGAGGCAGCUGUGGCAGAGGGGAAACUACUCAGCUUGGAGUCACAAGACUUGGGUUCCAGUCCAGCCUCUGCCCCACGCUGAGCUGGGAGCUCACAGUCCAGUCUCAUUCUUUGGAGCCUGCGUUUUCUCACUGGAGGAGGGGGCUUGACAACUGUGCAACCGGGUGCUCUUGCAGGUACCACUCUGAGCCUCUGGUGCACACGGUGACUUUCACCUAAUGUGAAGGGGGCUCAGUGUCCUCAGUGUUUCUCCUGCCCAGGCUGAGAAUCCGGUUCCCAAGGACUCAGGCCCUCUCCAGGUCUGCCAGACCCUGUGGCUCUCCAGGACACUGGGGCCCCUCUGCACAGAAAGUCUGUGUUGAAACCCUUCUCUGGCCAGGUUUCACAGUGGAGCCUGGGAGCUGGUCACUUUCACAUUCACACACAUUGUUUCUCAUACAUGCAGCUCUCACGAGUUCUCGCUGUCAGCCAAGAGCUGUCUCACACAUCAUUUAGAGGGCCUGGUUCAUUUCCUUUUUUUUUUUUUUCCUGAGACAAGGUCUUGCUCUGUCACCCAAGCUGGAGCGCGGUGGCGCGAUCACGGCUCACUGUAGCCUCCCCCUCCUGGGAUCAAGCGAUCUCGCCUAAGCCCUGAGGAGCUGGGGCUGUAGGCACGCACCACCAUGCCCAGAUCAUUUAUAUACUUUUGUAGAGAUGGGGUUUUGCCAUGUUGCCCAGGCUGGUCUUGAACUCCUGGGCUCAAGUGAUCCUCCUGCUUCGGCUUCCCAAAGUGCUGGGAUUACAGGUGAGAGCCACUGCACCUGGUUGACCUUGAUCAUUUCUUAGAUUCCUAGGCCACGGGGAGCGCGGAGCAGCAGAUGCUGGGGGAGCCGCUGGUACUCGUGAGGAGCUGGGCCACAUCCAGGCAGGGUGUUGGCCAGAGGUUCUGGGGUGGCUCGUGAGUGACAGCAGUACUGGUAUGCUGGUGAGUGCCUCAGCAGGAGCUCCCUCUGUCCCCCUACCAACUCCCCGAUGUCUGGACGGCACCAGAGCCCGCCUGGGAGGCCACGAGCUAACACUCUCAAGAGGAAAACAGGGGGAUCAAACCAAUGACCCAAGGGCCUACAGCUAAGAACUGCUGGAGCCAGGCUCUGAACUGAGCUCUGCCUGACUCCAGAGGUGGUUUCUACCACCAGGCAAUACAACAGGGAGACACGCAGGUGUGUCAGAGAGCAGUCCUCACAGUGCGAGCACAGAAACCAGAGGCCAAGGCUGAAGAUUUUCCUGGACUCGCGGUGCUGCCCAGGAAUCUUCUGAGAAAACCUGUCAGUUGGUAAAGCCACGUGGAGGCGGGGCUAACAAAAUCUGGAAAUGUCUUCACCAGUUCCAAAGUACACACAAACAUUACUUGCCCUCUCUGGGGGUCAACGUUCUUUAUGAUUUUUUUCUCUCCAGGAAAAUAUUAGUUCAUUUAUAGAAACUAAACAUUACAUGUGGAGGGAAAAUGGAAAACGUGGCAUUCUUGGCCUUUUUUCUCCACAGACACAGAAACUGAGAAGGUUUCUCCAUUUCCUUUCUCACAGCCUAUUUGUUGGUGUGGAACUGCCUGUGAAGUCAUUCUGCAGGGGUGGAAAGUGGGGGCCAGCUCUCUGUGGGCAACAGGGACCAUCCCAGAGACAAAGGGCAGCCUCAGCCCACAGACCACUUCGGACUUGAAUCAAGGCCUCAAAGGGCGAGACCUGGGCCACUGUCAAUGUGAGGGCAGGGCUGAAGCCAGGGAUUUGGAAAAUUGGUGGAAAACACUCCUAUGAGCUGGGGCUUGCUCUGCUGUGGAAAACUGCCAGCAUCAGCACUUCUCCCAAGGCUGUGCCGAGUCAGCAGUCAGCCCACUCUGGAGCUGCCUCUGAGGACCAGGUGCCUACAGGACCCUGUAAGGAGCUUGAAGAGUUGUGGCUGACGGAGGGAUUUCUGUCCUGGGCUCUAGGAAUUCUAGACUGGGCCCUUCCUCAAGGAGCUUUCAGUCUGGCGGAGCAGACAGACAUGGGCAAAUAAGCCCACAACUAACUGUGCCAUCACUGCAGAAGGAAGUGCCACGGAGGAGCAUGAGGGCCAGUUGCAGGAAGGAGCCAGGGCCAGCAUGUGCCUGUAAAAGCCAGAUAGUAAAUAGUUCACGCUCUGCAGGCCACAGGGUCUUUGUCCCAAGCACUCAACUCUGCCACUGCUGCAUGAAAACAGCCACAGGCGAUAUGUCAACCAAAGAGGGGUGGUUGUGCCCAUAUGAAAACAGAGGGUGGAUCUGUCCCACAGUUUGCCACAGCCUGGCUGUUAGACGGCCUGACCUGAUUGGGGGUGGGGGUGAUAGUGGGGAGAAGGCUUCCCCGAGGCAGUGAUAUUUAGCUAAAAGCUGCAGGCUGAGGCAAUGAUGGAGGCAGAAUCACAAUAUGACAAUUAUGAUAAUCACAUCACCAUGAUCAAGUUCCACCUAACACGUGUGUUCUAUGUUGCGCACUGUGCUAAUAACAACACUACCCUGUGAAGGAGGAAGAUUUUAUGCCCACUUUACAGAUAGAGACACUGAGGCUUGGCAGUAUGCUGAGUAGUCUGUUCACACAAUUCAGCUGCAUUUUUUGCCCUGCCCACUUGCCACUUCUGUUCGGGGGAGGCUGACCCCUGAGAUGCAUCUCCUGGACCCCUUGCCCCCAGCUUUCUAUUGGAUUUGGCCAAUGAAAGGCUCUGGUGGCAGACUGAGGGCUGGAGGAAAGGGAGGCCAGGGAUUUUUCUCUGCUCGCUCCUGCUUCCCCCUCCCUGCCCACAGACCCUGCACAGCCAAUCAUCCUCCAGAACUCAGCCAUCCCUGGGAUUGGUAACACUUCUUCCCCAUGCCCUUUAGCCUAGGGCUCCACCCUCCCCAGGACCCUGGGCCGGCCCAUGGGUGCCUCGCCAUGCUUUAUUGGUUCUGUUCAUUAAAGUCUCUUCAUGUGAA